GACGAACGCUGGCGGCGUGCCUAAUACAUGCAAGUAGAACGCACAGUUUAUACCGUAGCUUGCUACACCAUAAACUGUGAGUUGCGAACGGGUGAGUAACGCGUAGGUAACCUGCCUGGUAGCGGGGGAUAACUAUUGGAAACGAUAGCUAAUACCGCAUAAUAUUGAUUAUUGCAUGAUAAUUGAUUGAAAGAUGCUAUUGCAUCACUACCAGAUGGACCUGCGUUGUAUUAGCUAGUAGGUGAGGUAACGGCUCACCUAGGCGACGAUACAUAGCCGACCUGAGAGGGUGAUCGGCCACACUGGGACUGAGACACGGCCCAGACUCCUACGGGAGGCAGCAGUAGGGAAUCUUCGGCAAUGGACGAAAGUCUGACCGAGCAACGCCGCGUGAGUGAAGAAGGUUUUCGGAUCGUAAAGCUCUGUUGUAAGAGAAGAACGGGUGGGAGAGUGGAAAGUUCACACUGUGACGGUAUCUUACCAGAAAGGGACGGCUAACUACGUG
rnacentral:rRNA from 1 species